ensembl:lncRNA
GUCCCAACACCCAGUGUACCCCCGCUGCUCCCCACGGAGAGACUACAGAGCUGAUGGAGGGUCCCAACACCCAGUGUACCCCCGCUGCUCCCCACGGAGAGACUACAGAGCUGAUGGAGGGUCCCAACACCCAGUGUACCCCCGCUGCUCCCCACGGAGAGACUACAGAGCUGCCGUCCUCGAACAUCCUUCAGCCUAAUGUAUGUGUCAGAGGGGGGGGGAGAUAUUGAGAAAGAAACUCCCCCCUCCCUGUCUAUCUCUGUCUCUCCCUCACUCUCCCCCCUCCCUGUCUAUCUCUGUCUCUCCCUCACUCUCCCCCUCCCUCUGCCUCCCUCCCUCCCUCCCUGUCUAUCUCUGUCUCUCCCUCACUCUCCCCCCUCCCUCCCCAUCGGUAGUAUGCAUGGGCUUGCGAGGAACCAUGUAUGGAUUAGGGAUGGGCAUGAUUAAUCGACGAUCGACUAAUUGAUUAUUAAGAAUUUCAUUUCAUUACAUGUCGAUUAUAGUGGACUACACAACCUCUCCUGUUCCACAUGGAAUUCUAUUCCGAUCAGAGAAUUGUAUUCUGAUUAGCCGUGUUUCCAUGGACACUUCUGAUCCGAUUAGAUUAAUAAAGAUUUAUAUUCUAUUCCUAUCAUGCAAUCGGAAUGUAUUGUAUAUAUUGCAUUUACAGAAGUGGUAAGCGCACGUCCGUAUGUCUCUCGCGCAUUCUGGUGUAUUCCGAUUGAGGCGUAUAUAUGAUCAUUUUCUAUUCCGAUUGAGCUGUCCUUCCACUUCUAAUCGGCCCAUAAGUGUCCAUGUAAACACGGGAGAAUUAACGAUCAAUCUUCAUUGCAUUUUGAAUAAAGCAUAUAAAUAGUUAAUUUUAAUAUAACAAUAUGAAGGAUUGAUGGUUAAUCUCCAGACAAUGGACUACGACGCUCCUACUGUCAAAGACGCUUUGGUCGCUCAUAAAGUUUUGCUGCGAAUAUUUCUGUUCGCUUUGGUCGCUCAAGUCGCUCAUGACGCACAAUUCAAUUUUGCCUGCCGGUGUUCCCUGGGAUCCACGCAAGCGAAGAGCGUCUACAUUCCGAUUGGCUGUCAGUGUUUUGCCGCUGAAACGCCUCAUAGUCAUUUGCAUAAAGUUAGACCGUUUUCAACUUUUUUUGGACGCUCUGGUCGCUCAAAGUUGGCCGCGUUGGUCGUGUUCGUCGCUCUUGCCCAUAGCAAGUGUAUGAUUUCCGGCCAUUUGGUCGCUCAAUUCGCUUCUGGUGUGGACGUACAGUAACUGAAGGCCCUCCCUGAGGGUCACUGGUGUCUGGCAGCAGCCGGUCAGGGACCAGAGGGCACCACGUAGCAGCAGAGGCACCACGAUGCAGCAGAGGGCACCACGACGCAGCAGAGGGCACCACCACGCAGCAGAGGGCACCACCACGCAGCAGAGGGCACCACCACGCAGCAGAGGGCACCACCACGCAGCAGAGGGCACCACCACGCAGCAGAGGGCACCACCACGCAGCAGAGGGCACCACCACGCAGCAGAGGGCACCACCACGCAGCAGAGGCACCACGACGCAGCAGAGGGCACCACCACGCAGCAGAGGGCACCACCACGCAGCAGAGGGCACCACCACGCAGCAGAGGGCACCACGACGCAGCAGAGGGCACCACCACGCAGCAGAGGGCACCACCACGCAGCAGAGGCACCACGACGCAGAAGAGGGCACCACGACGCAGCAGAGGCACCACCACGCAGCAGAGGCACCACGACGCAGCAGAGGCACCACGACGCAGCAGAGGGCACCACCACGCAGCAGAGGGCACCACCACGCAGCAGAGGCACCACGACGCAGCAGAGGGCACCACCACGCAGCAGAGGGCACCACCACGCAGCAGAGGGCACCACGACGCAGCAGAGGCACCACCACGCAGCAGAGGCACCACGACGCAGCAGAGGCACCACAACGCAGCAGAG